UACAGAGGGUGCAAGCGUUAAUCGGAAUUACUGGGCGUAAAGCGUGCGCAGGCGGUUUUGUAGACAGGCGUGAAAUCCCCGGGCUCAACCUGGGAAUGGCGCUUGUGACUGCAAAGCUGGAGUGCGGCAGAGGGGGAUGGAAUUCCGCGUGUAGCAGUGAAAUGCGUAGAUAUGCGGAGGAACACCGAUGGCGAAGGCAAUCCCCUGGGCCUGCACUGACGCUCAUGCACGAAAGCGUGGGGAGCAAACAGG
rnacentral:rRNA from 1 species